rnacentral:rRNA from 1 species
AUAAUGGGUCAGCGACUUAUAUUCUGUAGCAAGGUUAACCGAAUAGGGGAGCCGAAGGGAAACCGAGUCUUAACUGGGCGUUAAGUUGCAGGGUAUAGACCCGAAACCCGGUGAUCUAGCCAUGGGCAGGUUGAAGGUUGGGUAACACUAACUGGAGGACCGAACCGACUAAUGUUGAAAAAUUAGCGGAUGACUUGUGGCUGGGGGUGAAAGGCCAAUCAAACCGGGAGAUAGCUGGUUCUCCCCGAAAGCUAUUUAGGUAGCGCCUCGUGAAUUCAUCUCCGGGGGUAGAGCACUGUUUCGGCAAGGGGGUCAUCCCGACUUACCAACCCGAUGCAAACUGCGAAUACCGGAGAAUGUUAUCACGGGAGACACACGGCGGGUGCUAACGUCCGUCGUGAAGAGGGAAACAACCCAGACCGCCAGCUAAGGUCCCAAAGUCAUGGUUAAGUGGGAAACGAUGUGGGAAGGCCCAGACAGCCAGGAUGUUGGCUUAGAAGCAGCCAUCAUUUAAAGAAAGCGUAAUAGCUCACUGGUCGAGUCGGCCUGCGCGGAAGAUGUAACGGGGCUAAACCAUGCACCGAAGCUGCGGCAGCGACGCUGAUGCGUUGUUGGGUAGGGGAGCGUUCUGUAAGCCUGCGAAGGUGUGCUGUGAGGCAUGCUGGAGGUAUCAGAAGUGCGAAUGCUGACAUAAGUAACGAUAAAGCGGGUGAAAAGCCCGCUCGCCGGAAGACCAAGGGUUCCUGUCCAACGUUAAUCGGGGCAGGGUGAGUCGACCCCUAAGGCGAGGCCGAAAGGCGUAGUCGAUGGGAAACAGGUUAAUAUUCCUGUACUUGGUGUUACUGCGAAGGGGGGACGGAGAAGGCUAUGUUGGCCGGGCGACGGUUGUCCCGGUUUAAGCGUGUAGGCUGGUUUUCCAGGCAAAUCCGGAAAAUCAAGGCUGAGGCGUGAUGACGAGGCACUACGGUGCUGAAGCAACAAAUGCCCUGCUUCCAGGAAAAGCCUCUAAGCAUCAGGUAACAUCAAAUCGUACCCCAAACCGACACAGGUGGUCAGGUAGAGAAUACCAAGGCGCUUGAGAGAACUCGGGUGAAGGAACUAGGCAAAAUGGUGCCGUAACUUCGGGAGAAGGCACGCUGAUAUGUAGGUGAAGCGACUUGCUCGUGGAGCUGAAAUCAGUCGAAGAUACCAGCUGGCUGCAACUGUUUAUUAAAAACACAGCACUGUGCAAACACGAAAGUGGACGUAUACGGUGUGACGCCUGCCCGGUGCCGGAAGGUUAA